AACGAACGCUGGCGGCAGGCCUAACACAUGCAAGUCGAGCGAGGACUUCGGUCCUAGCGUCGGACGGGUGUGUAACGCGUGGGAACGUGCCCUUUUCUUCGGCAUAGCUCUGGGAAACUGGGAGUAAUACCGGAUGAGCCCUUUGGGGGAAAGAUUUAUCGGCGAAGGAUCGGCACGCGUUGGAUUAGGUGGUUGUUGGGGUAAUGGCCUACCAAGCCGACGAUCCAUAGCUGGGUUGUGAGGAUGAUCAGCCACACUGGGACUGGGACGCGGCCCAGACUCCUACGGGAGGCAGCAGUGGGGAAUCGUAGACAAUGGGGGAAACCCUGAUCUAGCCAUGCCGCGUGAGCGAUGAUGGCCUUAGGGUUGUAAAGCUCUUUCAGCUGGGAAGAUAAUGACGGUACCAGCAGAAGAAGCCCCGGCUAACUCCGUG
rnacentral:rRNA from 1 species